rnacentral:rRNA from 1 species
UACGGGGGGAGCAAGCGUUGUUCGGAUUUACUGGGCGUAAAGGGCGCGUAGGCGGUCAGCACAAGUCAGUUGUGAAAUCUCCGGGCUUAACUCGGAAAGGUCAACUGAUACUGUGCGACUAGAGUGCGGAAGGGGCAACUGGAAUUCUCGGUGUAGCGGUGAAAUGCGUAGAUAUCGGAGAGAACACCUGCGGCGAAGGCGGGUUGCUGGGCCGACACUGACGCUGAGUGCGACGA